ACGCUGGCGGCAGGCCUAACACAUGCAAGUCGAGCGGCAGCACGGGUACUUGUACCUGGUGGCGAGCGGCGGACGGGUGAGUAAUGCCUAGGAAUCUGCCUGGUAGUGGGGGAUAACGCUCGGAAACGGACGCUAAUACCGCAUACGUCCUACGGGAGAAAGCAGGGGACCUUCGGGCCUUGCGCUAUCAGAUGAGCCUAGGUCGGAUUAGCUAGUUGGUGAGGUAAUGGCUCACCAAGGCGACGAUCCGUAACUGGUCUGAGAGGAUGAUCAGUCACACUGGAACUGAGACACGGUCCAGACUCCUACGGGAGGCAGCAGUGGGGAAUAUUGGACAAUGGGCGAAAGCCUGAUCCAGCCAUGCCGCGUGUGUGAAGAAGGUCUUCGGAUUGUAAAGCACUUUAAGUUGGGAGGAAGGGCAGUUACCUAAUACGUAUCUGUUUUGACGUUACCGACAGAAUAAGCACCGGCUAACUCUGUGCCAGCAGCCGCGGUAAUACAGAGGGUGCAAGCGUUAAUCGGAAUUACUGGGCGUAAAGCGCGCGUAGGUGGUUUGUUAAGUUGGAUGUGAAAUCCCCGGGCUCAACCUGGGAACUGCAUUCAAAACUGACAAGCUAGAGUAUGGUAGAGGGUGGUGGAAUUUCCUGUGUAGCGGUGAAAUGCGUAGAUAUAGGAAGGAACACCAGUGGCGAAGGCGACCACCUGGACUGAUACUGACACUGAGGUGCGAAAGCGUGGGGAGCAAAC
rnacentral:rRNA from 1 species